rnacentral:tRNA from 1 species
GCAAGAUGGCUCAGUGGUUAGAGCAGCUGUAAAUAACAGCUGUAGACUCUAACCCUUGGUUCAAACCCCAGUCUGGACU